UGUGUAGGCGGUUUGAUAAGUUGGAUGUGAAAGCUCCUGGCUUAACUGGGAGAGGUCGUUCAAAACUAUCAGACUUGAGAGUGGUAGAGGGAGGUGGAAUUCCGGGUGUAGUGGUGAAAUGCGUAGAUAUCCGGAGGAACACCAGUGGCGAAAGCGGCCUCCUGGCCCAUUUCUGACGCUCAGACACGAAAGCUAAGGUAAGGCAAACG
rnacentral:rRNA from 1 species